rnacentral:tRNA from 1 species
GCCUGGGUGGCUCAGUCGGUUAAGCAUCUGACUUCGGCUCAGGUCAUGAUCUCAUGGUUCGUGAGUUCAAGUCCCGCAUCAGGCU